rnacentral:rRNA from 1 species
CGAGGUGCUGCAUGGUUGUCGUCAGCUCGUGUCGUGAGAUGUUGGGUUAAGGUCCCGCCAACGAGCGCAACCCUUGCCUUUAGUUGCCAGCAGUUCGGCUGGGCGACUCUAAAGGGACUGCCGGUGUUAAACCGGAGGAAGGUGGGGAGUGACGUCAAGUCCUCAUGGCCUUUAUGACCAGGGCUACACACGUACUACAAUGGCCGAUACAAAGGGCAGCGACACUGCGAGGUGAAGCCAAUCCCGUAAAAUCGGUCUCAGUCCGGAUUGGAGUCUGCAACUCGACUCCAUGAAGUUGGAAUCGCUAGUAAUCGUGGAUCAGCAUGCCACGGUGAGUACGUUCCCGGGCCUU